rnacentral:rRNA from 1 species
AGAGUUUGAUCCUGGCUCAGGAUAAACGCUANCGGCAGGCUUAAUACAUGCAAGUCGUGGGGCAGCACAGGUANCAAUAACUGGGUGGCGACCGGCAAACGGGUGCGGAACACGUACGCAACCUUCCUUUAAGUGGGGGAUAGCCCAGGGAAACUUGGAUUAAUACCCCUUAACAUUAUGAGAUGGCAUCAUUUUAUAAUUAAAGCUCCGGCGCUUAAAGAUGGGCGUGCGCCUGAUUAGGUAGUUGGCGGGGUAACAGCCCACCAAGCNUACGAUCAGUAACUGGUGUGAGAGCACGACCAGUCACACGGGCACUGAGACACGGGCCCGACUCCUACGGGAGGCAGCAGUAAGGAAUAUUGGUCAAUGGACGCAAGUCUGAACCAGCCAUGCCGCGUGGAGGAUGACGGCCCUCUGGGUCGUAAACUCCUUUUAUUCUGGGAAGAAAUGCAGAUAUUCUUAUCUGUUUGACGGUACCAGAGGAAUAAGCACCGGCCUAACA